rnacentral:rRNA from 1 species
GAUGAACGCUGGCGGCGUGCUUAACACAUGCAAGUCGAACGAAGCACUUUAUUUGAUUUCCUUCGGGACUGAUUAUUUUGUGACUGAGUGGCGGACGGGUGAGUAACGCGUGGGUAACCUGCCUUGUACAGGGGGAUAACAGUUGGAAACGGCUGCUAAUACCGCAUAAGCGCACGGCAUCGCAUGAUGCAGUGUGAAAAACUCCGGUGGUAUAAGAUGGACCCGCGUUGGAUUAGCUAGUUGGUGAGGUAACGGCCCACCAAGGCGACGAUCCAUAGCCGACCUGAGAGGGUGACCGGCCACAUUGGGACUGAGACGCGGCCCAAACUCCUACGGGAGGCAGCAGUGGGGAAUAUUGCACAAUGGGCGAAAGACUGAUGCAGCGACGCCGCGUGAGCGAAGAAGUAUUUCGGUAUGUAAAGCUCUAUCAGCAGGGAAGAUAAUGACGGUACCUGACUAAGAAGCACCGGCUAAAUACGUG